UGGAGGGAGAGGACUUUGAGGAGGUAGAGGAGCAAGGAACAAUCCAGAGAGACACAAAGAAGAGCAAAACAAGGAAGAGAGUUGCUGCUGCAGGAGGUCUGUGAGGUUAUUUCUGGACUGGGUGUGCACUCAUUGCUCAGUGGCAGAUAUUUCUGCUUUUGUGCUUCUUGGACAGCAAUUGGAAUCAUGUCUAGGAGAGCAGUGGAGUAGAGAGCCAGACACUGGCAGUGGUGGUGUCAGUUUUGCUACAGUGUCAGUCCUGCUCACUUUCAAUGCUUGACAGGGAAGUGAAAAAUCUCUGAGAAGCAGCUGAGAUGACUCCCUUGUGGAUGGCACAUCCCUGGAGAAGAGAUGGAGAAGUAAGGCCAAGCCAGGCUGAAGGUGACUGACAGCAAAAUAGAUGCAAGAGAUUGUCAAAGAUCCUAAACCUGCACUAAUCAGCACAGAUGAUGGGUGAUUUCAGAGACAAAACUCUCUUGGGAGUGACCAUGUCAGUGUGCUGCUGUUGUGAAUCAUCUUUAGAACCUUCUCCACUGAGUGUGAAGGACAUCCCCUCCAUUAAGGGGUUUGGUGGUUUGCUUAAGUCAACCCUGCUGUGUUCAGCAGGUUUGUACUGAAGAGAAAGUCUGCUGGAUUUCAAGAUACUGCCAUUAAAGCAGCAAAGCUCUCGGAAAUGGAAUAAUCUCAAGGGUCAGAUUUUCUUAUGACCAAGAUCUCCCAGAAGCAACACACCUGUGAUUUGGUGAAAACUGAAAGACCAUCAGGACUGGCACAUCCUCAGCCAUGUGUGGCUCUGAAGCCCCUGGAGAGACCCUGACCCCCAAAGCAGAGGAACCAGCUCCAGGAGCUCCAUUUUUAGGACCAGUUGUCUAAUAAAGUGUGCUGGAGACUACACAGGAGGAGAGAGGGAACAUGGAAAUAGAACAGAUAUCACUCCUUGCAGAGCCUUGUCAGUGCGUGGGGGACUUGUCUGGGCAGAGUUUAUGGCAAGAUGAAGUGACAAAAAGUAAAUAAAUGCUUGGACUAAAAAGCUUUUGGAAACCAGAAAGUCAAAAAAGUUUCUGUAUUGGCAGACCCACUGCCAUGCUGGUGAGAUGCCAGAGAGCCUAGGAGGGCUCCAAGCUCUUCACUCCUGGGCUUAGGAGGAACCACCUCUGCAGAAUAUGAACUUGAAAACAAAGCUGCAAACAGAGUGGGAGCAUGUCUUUGACUUCCCUUCAUACCUGUACACAGAGUCCUUUCCACAGUCCUAUGAGUUCCCUGGAAAUGCUUUGCAGCCUUCCAUGCCUGGCCAGGUCUUUACAGCCCUGGACAUAGUCAAGCAGAGCUUUGAAGGUGACCUGCUUAGACAAACUGUAUGAACUCUGGAAACAAUGGAAAUAGCUUCCAGCUUGGCUCCCCUGCCCCUGAAAUCUCCUGGAGCUUCUUACCCUGAGCUGGCUCAGCAGCUUUUGAGAGAAGAUGCUGCUCCCUCUCUUCUUCCUGACCCGUUGAUUUCUGGAAGAAAUUAAAAAAAAAUUUAUAAAAGCAUGUAAUCAGAAAAUUACUCCCUUGGGAAGUUAGAGGGCAUCGUGUCUGAAGAGAUUUGGCCUCUCAGAAAUGCAGCCCAACUUCUGAUCAGACUGAGAUUUGUGGGCAGGCACUAGCCAGGUAAGGACAGCUGUCAAUGGCUGUUGGUUGAACUCUGCAGUGCACCUGCAGAGACCAAGGAAAACCAAGUUCACGUCUGCUACACAAUAGUUACCGCUCGGGAUGCUUUGCCAUUUAUCCAGAAAUAUGCAUAACCCUCCUGGGGAAGUGUCACUGAGUGAGAUGGAAGGGCUAAAAACCCAUUAGUGCUCUAGUAAAUCUACUCUGAAGACAGUAAGGGCUAAUCCGACCUAUUGAGGUCUACAAUAUUGCCCUGGGCAGAUGAUUUAGAGUGCCUUCAAGUGCCAGUGCAGAUCAUUGCUGCUGCCCAGGGGUCAGGGGGGCACAGCCCCGGUUGCUCAGUUUGCAGAGCAGUGGCAAUUGAAUUCUUGGUUUCAGUCACAGCCAGAGGUUUUUCAUUUGACUUUUACUUCUUUUCUUUUCUAAACUUUAAUAACAUGAGUUAAUCACCUAAGUCAGAUUUCUGCCUGCUCUGU